rnacentral:rRNA from 1 species
UACGUAGGGGGCGAGCGUUGUCCGGAUUCAUUGGGCGUAAAGCGCUUUAAGGCGGUUCGGUAAGUCGGGUGUGAAACCUCCAGGCUCAACCUGGAGACGCCACUCGAUACUGCUGUGACUAGAGUUCGGUAGGGGAUCACGGAAUUCCUGGUGUAGCGGUGAAAUGCGCAGAUAUCAGGAGGAACACCAGUGGCGAAGGCGGCUCACUGGUCCGGUACUGACGCUGAGGUGCGAAAGCGUGGGGAGCAAACAGG